rnacentral:lncRNA from 1 species
GGGAGAGACCACCAGCUAUAGAACCCACAAACUCUUCAGACCAUUCCAGUAAUGGCACCCCCCCCCCCCCCCCCCACACACACACACACACACCUGUGCCUAUAAACUGGACCUCUAAGCAGGGGAAGCAGGUGUGUCAUGAGGAUUGAGAGAGACUGCUACCACAGUGCCUUUUACAACUGCAGUGCACCCUGGGAUACAUGGAGGGCCUGGAAGACGUUCCCGGUAUAGACUGAGGGAGGGACAGACCUAGAACACAGACGGUUACCGGAGCAGCCUGACAGUACAGACUGUGUCUCUCUGAGAGGCCUGGAGAACCUGUGACAGGUGGGAGAUAAUGGAAUGAUCUUCACUGGCAAUCCAGCCUUCAGUGUCCCCAUAUGUCCCAUAAUAACUCUAUCCCUUCCUCUAACCAUGUCGAUCUCCCUGUUUUUAACUUUCCCCCACAUCUACACCUCUCUGAGACUCCCCCAUCUAUAAAGUGUUCACCCCACUCCCCAGUGUUCUCCUUCCGUUUUCUAGACUUGUGUAAUUAUUUAUUUCUCCAGCAGAGGGCGCAGCAUAUGAAAGUAAGGGGGACAACCAUGACCAUUAUUCAACAUUAAGUUGGUUCCACUAGUCAAGAGGGAGCCAUAGAGACAUGUCCAAGUUGAUUCAUGUAGUGACGUCAUUACUCCCAACUCUAGGCCAAACCUGUAUACACACACACACACACACACACACACACACACACACACAGGCCCUCAUAACUGUUUUUGGGCAAGGAAAGAAGUGCUCACUCUGUUUACCAUUUGUCUAAGACUGUGGUGUCCUUCCUGUCUGCUACUCUGUAUACUUUAAUAAACGUUUCAGUCAGAACUAGUUCAGUGAUGACAUGUGGAGGAGUCCGUAAGGAGAGCAUCAUUAAACACCUGACCGUGUGGUUAACCAGCCUGAUCUCCUGAGCUCACAUUCUGUUUCAAUUCAGUAAAGACAGGGAUUAUCAGAGUUUGUGAGUGUGUGUGUAGGUAUGUGUGUGUGGCACCGGGCAGACAUAGUUGUGGUGUUGCAGCAGGUGCUGAUGGUUCUGCUCUUUACAGACGCGGUCAACAAGUAUUCCUGAGGCCAGACGAGACCGCAGCUCUAACCCUGACUGACCGACUACAGGUAAGAUAUACACUGUUUCUCUCUCGCUCUCUUGCUUUCUCUCUCUCUCUCUCUCUCUCUCUUGCUCUCUCUCUUGCUCUCUCUCUCUCUUGCUCUCUCUCUCUCUUGCUUUCUCUCGCUCUCUCUUGCUCUCUCUCUCGCUCUCUCUCUCUCUUGCUCUCUCUCUCUCUCUCUCUUGCUCUCUCUCUCUCUCGCUUUCUCUCUCUCUCUCUCUUGCUCUCUCUCUCUCUUGCUUUCUCUCUCUCUCUCUCUCUCUCUCUUGCUCUCUCUCUCUCUCUUGCUCUCUCUCUCUCUCGCUUUCUCUCUCUCUCUCUCACUUUCUCUCUCUCUCUCUCGCUCUCGCUCUCGCUCUCUCUCCCUCUCUCUCGCUCUGUUGCUCUCUCGCUCGCUCUCUCGCUCUCUCUCUCUCUCUCUCUCUCUCUCUCGCUCUGUUGCUCUCUCUCGCUCUCUCGCUCUCUCUAUCUCUACACACAAUGUGUAAAUGAGAUGUUUGCUGUUUAUCUGUGGGCCAGCCUGAUGUGUUGCCAU